rnacentral:misc_RNA from 1 species
UACGAAGGUCCCUAGCGUUGUUCGGAAUUACUGGGCGUAAAGGGCGCGUAGGCGGACCAGCCAGUCAGGGGUGAAAUCCCGGGGCUCUACCUCGGAAUUGCCUUUGAUACUGUUGGUCUUGAGGACGGGAGAGGGUCGUGGAAUUCCCAGUGUAGAGGUGAAAUUCGUAGAUAUUGGGAAGAACACCGGUGGCGAAGGCGGCGACCUGGACCGUAUCUGACGCUGAGGCGCGAAAGCAUGGGGAGCAAACAGG